CAGAAAUUAGCUGCACAACACAAGCAAGAGAGAGGGGAGAGAUAUGUGGAGAGACAAGAGUCCAGGACUGAAGAUCUUAUGGCUGUGGACCUUCGGAACUGCCGCCGUGCUGGUUACAAAUGUUAUGUUCACAAGAAUGAGGGACAUGGACCAGAUCAUUAACGCCCAACAACACCAAGACCCACCACGCGCCGACGGCUUUCACAACACCUCGUCGGAGUCCCUUCGAGAGGAAUCUUGAUUGAUCGGUUCCUUUGUUUCUACAGUAGUCUGUUUUGCACACCACCUGUUUGAUCAAUAGCCUCACUCACUCAAUCAAAACCUUCUUUUGCCUCUUUUAUUUAAUUUAUUAUACUUAAGUGGUCUUCUUCAUUUGAGUGCAAUAAUUCACCUUUGAUUUAACUUGAUGUUGUAAUUGAUUUUGUUAAGAGUUUUAAUAGUACUACAUAAAUAACCUAUCAAUCCUACCA